UACGGAGGAGGCAAGCGUUAUCCGGAAUUAUGGGGCGUAAGGCGUCCGUAGGUGGUUGGCCAAGUCUGCUGUCCAAGGGUGGGGCUUAACCUCAUAAAGGCAGUGGAAACUGGCGAGCUAGAGUGCGGUAGGGUUAGGGGGAAUUCCCAGUGUAGCGGUGAAAUGCGUAGAGAUUGGGAAGAACAUCGGUGGCGAAAGCGCCCUGCUGGGCCUGCACUGACACUGAGGGAAGAAAGCUAGGGGAGCGAAAGGG
rnacentral:rRNA from 1 species